UUUCAGAUCAAUGGGGAGUUUUCUUGGGAUUGUCGCGGGCCAAAAUCCUUGAUUAUGCGGCACGUUUUCUUAAAAGAUGCGAUGGAAUAUGCGGGAUAUUUAUGCAAUUUUAUGCAAUGAAAUUGUGGGAACUUGCAAAAAUUGGGGUUUGAUGAAAAAGUAACUGUGUUUGUCUUGUUGUGUAAUUACGUCACUUCAUAAUGUUCCCAUGGCAACAGGGGAAAAAGGGCCCGCUCUUGUGUGAAGUGAACGCAACAUUUUUCAACUUUCUGCUGAGAUAUUUGUGACUUCUUUUGCAACAAAGGAGGCGACGGAUUAUGAAAUCAUGCAAGCCCCGCAUUAGUUUGCGUGGAAAUUGGCAAUUUAUGCGGCAAAAAUGCGGCCCCCGCAUAAAUAUGCGGAUUUUGGCUGAUUAGGCUAUGCAUUGAAUUAUGCGAUCGCAUCAUCACGUUUUUCUGGAGGGAUUAAGUGGGGUUUUGUAUC